GGAGUUUGGGAGGGACCCAGAAGUGGAGGAUUUUUUUCGGAUUUGCGGCGGCUUCGGCUUUCUCUUGAGUUACCAGUUUCUUUGAAAGUAAAGCUAUCUCAGGGAUAAUCUACAGAAGAAGAAUGCCAGUAUACUUUACCAUGAAGUAGUUAGGAUCGUUUUCUGGAGUUGCUUCCCUGUACGUUGAAGCAAUAUGUACCCUUCCCCAAUUACUUGACCGCAGUUCUACUAAUUUUAAUAGCAUAUGCUUUACAUCUCUGUAACAGAAAAGUAGAAAAUAAAAAUCAUUACGUUUA